CCUACGGGUGGCAGCAGUGGGGAAUAUUGGACAAUGGGCGAAAGCCUGAUCCAGCCAUGCCGCGUGUGUGAAGAAGGCCUUCGGGUUGUAAAGCACUUUCAGUGGGGAAGAAAGCCUUGGGGCUAAUACCCUCGAGGAAGGACAUCACCCACAGAAGAAGCACCGGCUAACUCCGUGCCAGCAGCCGCGGUAAUACGGAGGGUGCGAGCGUUAAUCGGAAUUACUGGGCGUAAAGCGCGCGUAGGCGGUCUGAUAAGCCGGUUGUGAAAGCCCCGGGCUCAACCUGGGAACGGCAUCCGGAACUGUCAGGCUAGAGUGCAGGAGAGGAAGGUAGAAUUCCCGGUGGAGCGGUGAAAUGCGUAGAGAUCGGGAGGAAUACCAGUGGCGAAGGCGGCCUUCUGGACUGACACUGACGCUGAGGUGCGAAAGCGUGGGUAGCAAACAGGAUUAGAUACCCCGGUAGUC
rnacentral:rRNA from 1 species